UACGUAGGGUGCGAGCGUUGUCCGGAAUUAUUGGGCGUAAAGAGCUCGUAGGCGGUGUGUUACGUCGGCCGUGAAAACCUGCAGCUUAACUGUGGGCGUGCGGUCGAUACGGGCAUCACUGGAGUUCGGCAGGGGAGACUGGAAUUCCCGGUGUAGCGGUGAAAUGCGCAGAUAUCGGGAGGAACACCUAUGGCGAAGGCAGCUCGCUGGGACGUUACUGACGCUGAGACGCGAAAGCGUGGGGAGCAAACAGG
rnacentral:rRNA from 1 species